GGGCCCUUAGCUCAGCUGGUAGCAGCAACUGACUCUUAAUCAGUAGGUCGUCGGUUCGAACCCGACAGGGCCCACCA
rnacentral:tRNA from 2 species